GGGUUUCAACAUGUUAGCCAGGAUGGUCUCGAUCUCCUGACCUCGUGAUCUGUCCACCACAGCCUCCCAAAGUGCUGGGAUUACAGGCGUGAGCCACCGUGCCCGGCCAUUUCAUGUCUUUUCAAUCUGUUGCUCCUCUAACUGACCAGAGUUUGAUCUGGAAGAAACUCUGUUGUCGUUCCAGUACCUGGGCUGAUGGGAAGACAGACAAGGCAGGGCAGAUAUCCAUCAGGCACUCCCUCUGACUGCCAGGUAUGCAGUGUGGAGGCAAGGGCCCAGAGCUGCCUGGAAUGUGAAUGACCUGCACCUGCAGGAAGGAUCCAAACGCUCUGGAUGGAAUAGCUUCGUGCUUGCUUGGAUGAGGCAGUGCUCAAGCCUGUUGACUUUGCAUUAAGCCAAGAAGCAGGGCACCUGCCUUCCACCCACCCCUCAUUGACCUCAUGGAGUCCAGGAUCACGCAGCUCUUGUCUCUUGGGUAUUUCAGUGGGGUUGGUGCUACAGAUUGCAGGAAAGUAACAAUUACUCUCAGAUGAGGGAGACAGGAUACUCACAGCUGGGGGACAUUCAGAGGUAUCUCACAGUGCUUCCCAGAAUAGGGAAAGGCCCACAAGAGAGGGGCUGCCUUUGCCACUUUCUACCCCUCUCUGGGGAGUAUCAGCUCAGCAGCCUGUUUCUUCCUGGGUUCAGUCUUCUCUGGGCAGCAGAGUGUUACCCUCACCCCCACUACCCCCAGAACUCUGUGGGUGCAGGUGGAGCCAUGUAUGCUCAGGGCUGACCCAGGAGGCCCAUUCUCCUGUACUGCUCCAGCCCACUGCUUUGGGCCUGAUUGAAGAGCCUGGACGGAAGAACUGGAAUGCUUCUCUGCCAACUCACGCUCUUAACACCAGUGCACAUCUGAAGUCAUAUCUGGGAAGCCUGGUCAGACCCUGUGGAAAGACAUCACCAGCCAGCCAGGCAAUUACAGCGACCGCAGGUGCACACAGAUCUGAGGCCCUGAUCUGUUCCACUCUCUUUAUGCCAAACAGAGGAGGGACGCGAACCCCAGCAUGAAACGGCGCCCACAACCACAAGGCCCGGUGUGCGCCCUCUGAAACCGUAGGUAAAGACAAUUACCGGCAAUUUCCACAGCAUGGUUUGUUUUUUGUUCAAAGGCCAUGGAGGCAUUCUCAGCAGCAGGCCCAAAAUGUAGUAUUCCCACCGCACGCCGCCCUCAUGAAUUUGUGAUAAAAGCUGUGGUCGCUUUGUCCCGGCUCUUCCUUUUAACAGUCAAACCUUCAGGUUUGAUGUUGAAACUGCUUUUUUCUUCAAGUGUCCUUUGAUGGUGAAGAUAACGCUCCGUGAUAAGGAACCUGCCUUCAAAACCACUCACUGUACCUCGUGCUCACCAUUAAGAUGCACGUCACAAGGGAAAAAUCAGGCACCUGAAUUUUUGAGUAGUGGGAUGGGAAUGUGCUGAAUCUGUGAAAUUCGCCUCUGUGCUGCCUGUAUUGGAGAUUUUGCCAUCCCCCAACCCCCAAGAAAAGGAGAAGAAGAAGAAGGGGAAGGGGAAGGAAGAAGGAAGAAAAAGAAGGAGAGGGAAAAAGCACCAGGCACAGACCAGAAGGAGGUCCUGGGAUGGGAGGAAAAUGGUGUGAAACGUCCUAGAAACAGCUGUUUUUCCUUUGGCAAAAGCUGUCAAGAAUCUGCACGUUCAAGCCCAUCUGUUUUCCCUAAUUAAGAAGACUCUGCAAAGUUGAUGCUAAGUGGCCCAGAGCCUCUAAGAGCUCGUGAAUAUCCGAGUACUCUUGGGGAGGCCGCCCAGGUUCCAGGUUCCUCAGCUGUUGCAUCUCCUGUACUCGUGUUUAAGCUCUUCCCUUUGCUCAUCAAUAUUUGCAAUCUCCCAAGGGCUGACUACCCUUGGAGCCAUUACAUCACAAUAGGAAUAGACCCUGUGUUGCUUUGUGUAAGCAAUGAUUGUUU
ensembl:lncRNA